GCCCCGCUGAGGGGGUGCCGGGCGAAGCGGGCACCGGGGAGGGGGCGCGGCGCGGGUCGCCCCGCUGCCCGAGGGGCUGCAUUUCCUCGCCCAAGGUCAGGUGUGCGCUCCCCUCCCCCCGCGAGGGGCGAGAGACCCUUUUCUCCUCCAGCCUUUCGGAAGCGUUUCCCUGAGGCUGCGGGGAACCCGCCCCGGCGACGGGGGCUGCGGCGGACGAGGCUCCUCGGGACACUCUGUCUCCCGGCCGCCUGCCUGAUGGCAGCGAUCGAGCCCGGCUGGGCGAGGGUUCCCCUGACAAGCCGGUGCGCUGCGCUGCGCUGCCCUGCCGGGUUGUUGCUGCUGUUUCACUUUGCGCUUCCCUCGCUACCGUCUGCGAAGGUUAUAGUUAAUAUCAGAAUGGCUACCCUGAGCCAGUCCCUCUGUUGCUACUGGCAGUGGCCUAGCAGAUGCCUGGAAGAUGGUAAGCGCAUGGCGAUUCCUCCUUGGGAAAAUCUCCUUGUUACAGGGACAACCAUACAGGGAGGCCACAUGCGGUAGUUGGAAUAUUUUACAGGUGUAAGCUGUGAGUCUGCAUUUCAGGAAACCCUACAAGGAUGUUCUGCUGCAGAGAAGUAAAGACUGCAAGCUAGGACAUCCACUGUAAAAGCACCCCAGAAGAAGACCCACUUCAUGAAGCCUGGGUCUGUAUUGCUGUCCCCAGGAAGGUCUGGAGCUUCUGAAUUUGAAGAAACAGUAAAAAAGCAGAAGUCCAUACUAGGAGAAAAGCUGUUCUCUAUAGCAUGAUAACCCUGUCAGGAAACAGAAGACAAAGUCCUGCCUGAUCUAAAGCUGUGGAAAACCUUGAAUUCACAAGAAAA